GAUAGCUGGUUCUCCCCGAAAGCUAUUUAGGUAGCGCCUCGUGAACUCAUCUUCGGGGGUAGAGCACUGUUUCGGCUAGGGGGUCAUCCCGACUUACCAACCCGAUGCAAACUACGAAUACCGAAGAAUGUUAUCACGGGAGACACACGGCGGGUGCUAACGUCCGUCGUGAAGAGGGAAACAACCCAGACCGCCAGCUAAGGUCCCAAAGUCAUGGUUAAGUGGGAAACGAUGUGGGAAGGCACAGACAGCCAGGAUGUUGGCUUAGAAGCAGCCAUCAUUUAAAGAAAGCGUAAUAGCUCACUGGUCGAGUCGGCCUGCGCGGAAGAUGUAACGGGGCUAAACCAUGCACCGAAGCUGCGGCAGCGACACUUAUGUGUUGUUGGGUAGGGGAGCGUUCUGUAAGCCUGCGAAGGUGACCUGUGAGGGC
rnacentral:rRNA from 1 species